AGGCUUGUAGCUCAGUGGUAGAGCAUCUGCCUUGCAUCCAGAAGGUCCCAGGUUCAAUCCCAGGUGGGGCUG